rnacentral:rRNA from 1 species
ACGUAAACGAUAUUGUGCAGGAGAGUAAGAUGCCAUCCUAUCAGUUAGUAAGUAGGGUAAGGGCCUACUUAGACGAAGACGGGUACGGGGAAUGAGGGUUUGAUUCCGGAGAGGGAGCCUGAGAGAUGGCUACCAGGACCAAGGUCAGCAGCAGGCGCGAAAAUUAUCGAAGCCCGCCUAGGGGCGAUAGUGAGGAGACGUGUAUAACGAAGUACGUGUAAAGAACGUGCUAAUAACUGGAGGUCAAGUCUGGUGCCAGCAUCCGCGGUAAUUCCAGCUCCAGGGGUGUCUAUGAUGAUUGCUGCGAUUAAAAAGUCCGUAGUCAAUCUGACUGACUGGCCUGCAAUGUGAUUGAUUAAAGAACGAGCAGGGUUAGGAAAGCAGAGAAUCAGGAGCGACCGAGGGCUAGAGUAUUGAAUGGCGAGAGGUGAAAUUUGAUGACCCAUUCAGGAGUGACAAAGGCGAAGGCACUAGUCAAGGGCGAAUCCGAUGAUCAAGGACGUAGGCUAGAGUUUCGAAAACGAUUAGAGACCGGAGUAGUUCUAGCAGUAAACUAUGCCGACGCCGUGGUAUCAUUUUGGUAUUGCGGAAGAGAAAUCAAGUAAGGCUUUGGGGAGAGUACGCGCGCAAGCGAUAAAUUUAAAGGAAAUUGACGGAGGAACACCACAAGGAGUGGAGUGUGCGGCUUAAUUUGACUCAACGCGGGACAGCUUACCAGGCCCGAUAAUCGAGCGAGCGUAGUACGCGAUAGGUUAAAGAGUGGUGCAUGGCUGCUAUCGACAGUUGGGGUGACCUUAGGGUUAAUUCCGGCAAGUAGUGAGACCCCUGCAGAUAGUGGACAGGUAUUUUUAAAAUACAGGAAGGAAGGGACAAGAGCAGGUCAGUGAUGCCCUUAGAUGGCCUGGGCUGCACGCGCACUACAGUGGUCAUUAUAAGUAGAAGUUAGAUAUAAAGAUGAUCGAGAGGGACUGAGCUUUGUA